CUAGAGAUGAACUGCAUUUCCCAGGGUGCAUUGAAUAAGCGGAGAUGCUGAGGUGGGUGGGAGGACUGUUUCCAUAGCAAAGGCGGCUGGAUGGGGGUGGCUGACAGAAAUGGGGCAGGCCGCGGACCCUCGAAGGAUCGUGCGUGACUUCAGGCAGCCUCUUGGGAGGCCAUUUCCAUUCUCUUUUUUUCCCGGGCCUCCACUUCGAGACUCUGGGCUUCAGUUUUCCUACCUGAGAAGAAGGGCGUGGAACUAUCCUCCCGCCCACGCUCUGUGGUGAUGGGACAAACCGAGGGCGAGGCGCUUUGGUUUGCCCAGCGAAGGAGAGACUUGACACAGAAAGCACAGUCCUGUCGUUGAGGAACCUGGAACAAGUUGGGGAGGUGCAGCCGAGUAGGGAUCUGCCUACAGAUUCCACAUACCCUGUCUGCCUAGAGUGGCAGAGGGACGCCACAGAACUUUGAGAAGCAGCU
rnacentral:lncRNA from 1 species